AGUAGUUUCUUGUCACAGUCUUCUUCUGGACUAAGCCACUCAAAGGUUACAGAAGAUGCCUAAUCGUUGUUUUGUGCCUAAUUGCAACUCGGGAUUCCCUGGGUCCACUACGACUGAAAAGGUGGCUUUUUUUUCAGCUCCAAGGGAUUCUAGCCUGCUUCAACGUUGGAAGCUGCGAGGGAAAAAAAUGUAGACAAAAAAGAAGAUUGCGACCUUCUCUAUGUCUUAUGGCAACAUAUUUUUGUUGUUGUUGGUGAAACAAAAGACUUUUUAAGUCAGUAGACACAGCCCGGAGAUUUUAACUUUCUCCAACACUUUCUCCAAGACACCGCUGUCGGUGGAGAAUGUUUAUUCUACGUGUUGUAGAAUACAGCAAAUAUUACCAUUCAUGCCUCAAGUCAACACCACGAAAGAAGCCAUUCAAUUAAUAAAUUGAUUCUUUGGAUGAUGCUUCAAAAGUGGUGAAUGGGGCCUGGGUGUAAUUGUAAACGUUUCAGUCCUUUUAUUAAUCAGUGGAACACGUUACGUAGAUGAUUUCUUUUCUCUGGGGCAAUAAGAUAUAAUCUGUUUA